AACUGUGAAAAGCUUGGAGCCUGUCUGUGACGUUCCUGCUGUCCUUGACCCACCAGCCACCCAGACCAGACCAACGGGUUCGCAAGGAACCCAGCUGAUCUUACUGAGUCCCUAGAGCCCACCUGUGUCACCUCUGAACCAACUCUCAGUUCUUCUGAAAGGUUAACCCUUCUGUCAGAGACACCAGUCUAUAUUCAUAUCGUUGUUAAAGGUGCAGGGUCCUUCGGUGGCCCAGGACUGCAAUCCCUUAAGGGAAAGCAAGGGAAGGCAUCCCUCCUGGGGAGAGAAGGUGGAGAUGUAUGACCUCUUGGUGGAGGCAGGACAGAGGUAGGAGCUUUGACAGUCACCACAGUGUGCCCCUGACCUUGAACUGCUUUAAUCUUCCUAACUGCAUUGCCUCUUUGCCUCCUUAGCUUCCAGUGACCCAAAGUGGUUUCUGUCCCAACACGUUCCCUCACGGUGAGAGAGACUCAGCUUCAGCCGGAAGCCGGGUGACGGAGAUGUGGCCACACCGACCAUCUAAAGCGACCCCCAACUCCGAUGAAGCCUGGCUGGAAAGACGCGGCUUCCAUCCUGGGAGCCUGGAGGAGAAUCGAGCAGUGGCUAUUGCCUGGGCUUGCCUGGGCUUGUUCAGACAGGACUGCUCCCCUCGGUGACUGCACAGAUUGGGGGCUUUGGGAGACGUUGCCAGAAUCUGGAAGCCAAGGCCGGGGGCUACAGGGGCCCGGGGUCUGCGCACCUGCUCGCCGCGGAGCUCAGGAGUGCGUCCAGACAAACAACUUGACGGAGGAAAGCAAGAGAAAUGUAUUCGCUCGCAGUUCUGCAAGCCAAAAGUUUGAAACACAGCAGCGUCCACCCGUCUGUUGUCUCUGUGAAGGGAUCCCGCCCCAGCUUCCGAAGUCUGCCUGGGCCUGUGAUCCAGGGUCUGGUGUGGGAGGAAGGCAGAAGCCUGACUAUGAGGACAGAAGGGUCAGAAUACUAGUCGGACUACCAGAACCUGCCCAGGUACUGCCCCAGCGUGGAGGACGGCUGCUGGAACAAAGCCUAGUGUGUCUGUCGGCUCCCCUUGGGGUAGCUGAGCAAAGGUGUCGGCUUUGAGUUGCGGCUUCAUAAAGUGUUCCUCGGAGACAGGCACACCCUGAAUGAUGCCUGAGACCUGCUGGGCCGCUCCCAGCCACAGGCAGCUGCCUCCUGUUGCUAUGUGAAUUCCAUCAGGGUUCUCUCUGCUCCUUUCUCUGCCCCUCUGCUACCUUAGGAAAAAUGGGGGGUCUGGGGUCUGUAUUUCCGGUUUGAGUUUUACAGUUGGGAACCCACCCUGCAUCUACUGGGAAACCCUCCGUGUGCCUCCAGCUUCCUCUUUGGGCUCUUGCCUGCCGGUUCUCUUCGGCUGACUCUCAAAGACUCCCCUUCUUUGGACAGCUCAGAAGCACAUGGUCAGAACCCAAGUGACAGACGUCCAGCUGGCUUCAUCGCAACUGCGUCUGUGACCUUCCACCCAGACAGGGCUGUGUGUUGUAGAUGCUCCCCCUAUGCCAGGCACGGGGUGAAAGGGAAGAGAAGCGAAAUCUGCCUGCUCAGACCUCUUGAUCCUGGGUAACAAGGAAAUUGCCCUUGAUGCUCUCAGUCUAGGGCUCCGCCCCCCAGCUCAGCUAUGCCAAUCAGCACCUUGGUGAAUCCACCAAGCCAAGCCAUCCCCUUAACAAACCAGCAGCCCCCAAGAAUUCAGGGCUUCUUUCUGACAUCUAGGAGCAAGAGGGACAGAUGGACCCUGUGUGCUCACAGCAGAGUUUAGGAAGGGGACCCCUCACAGCUGAAGGCGGCCUCUGUGCUCCUAGAGGCAGCUGACCAUGCCUUUGCCCGUGGACAGCGCCGGGCCCUGUGGAUUCCAGGGUCUGGAGUAGAGCCAGCCAGCCCAUGGAUGGACAGUGGAACUGCUUUCUCCAAAUAGCUGCCUACAGAGAUAGAGCAGCCCUGAGAUUUGGCCCUGAGCGUGGCCAAGCACAGCUCCAGGCCCCACCCAGCCUCACCCAGCCUCACCCCCAUGACUGACUGGACAGGCCAGCAUGCUCAGGUGUGGAGACUGGGGGUUUUCCUCCCUCUCCCCCCUUCUCCUCUCCUCUCUGUUCUCUCUUUUCUCCAUUAGCUCUUGGAUUAGCAUCCAGAUGACUCAGGGGAGGCGGUCUGGUGCCUGCUUCCCUGGGCAAAGGAGCAGCGGUGGGGAGGGACAAGGAACAGGUGAGUGCACACCUCUGGAGGGGCCCAGGUAGGUGCUGGCAGCUUGCCUAGCUCCUAGCAGCUGUGCUAUGCCUGAGGGGGCAGUGAGCUGAGCAUGUCAGACAGGUGGAGCCAGGCUGCCCGUCCCAGACACACAGGUCCUCUCUUGGGUUACUGAACAGGGAAACACCCUUUCCUUUCCCCCACUGCCUUAGUUCCCUGGCACCUCCAGGGACCACUUCCAACAUCUGAAGAGGACACUGGAAGCGGAGAACGGGUUGCGAAUUCGCUUGGAGAGACCCUGGUUGAGUUCGAGUGUGGAAACACAAUCUUGGCCUUGGAGAAGCACUUGUGGUUUUCAGGCCCUUGGUUCUGAGAAGCCGAUCUCACAAGGAGCCCAAAUGUUUAGUGACAAAUUGAGGGGACAGGUCCAGAAACCUUAGGGAGGUCUGUCACUGGAAGAGAACUCUGGAAGAGAAGCUUUAUUGGGUAAUGUGAGCUUUUUCCUUCCGGGGGAGGGGAGGCUGCCUCUGCUCAGUGACAGCACCUGGCUUUAUUGGGGUGACCCUCUUUGGUUUCUGUAGGGGGGAGAAGGGCUAGACUUCCUCAAAUACAACCAUAAAUUACAGACACUUACUGGGAGUGGGUUCUCCUCUCCUCACUGAAGGUGGGGCCUCAGCCAAUCUCGGUUUCUCCAGACGGUCUCUGGUGAACUCCUGUCUGAGGAUGGAGGGCAGAGGGGGGUGGUUGUAUCAGCUGAGAACUAGCUCAUGGUGCUUCUUCCCCUGAAACCAGAAGGCUGUGUCUACCUAGACAAAUUGGGGCUGUGUUUACUGUCUCCUCUCUGUGGGCCACGCCCUCUUUGCCGGUUGGUCUCACGGAGCAUCUCCAUCCACAGGCCGAGUUUCGAGAGAGAACAGCCUCUUGGGAAAGCACCACACUGAGAGCAGAGGUUGGUUCCUGGUUGGUAAGUUUGGAGUUGUUUGUUUGUUUGUUUGUUUGUUUGUUUGUUUGAGAGCAGGGUCCUACUUUGCAGCUCAGGCUGGUUCGGAACUUACCUGGUAGCUUAGGCUAGCCUUGAACUUGUGACAGCCUCCCUGCCUCAGGCUCCCAGGAGCUAGGAUUACACCUAGGGCAGACGCGAUCAAAGCAUGUCUCGAAUGGUCAUGCUGCAGACAGGGACAGCAGUGAUUUUUUUUCCCCUUGCUAAAUGAGGACUUUAUUUUAUUUUUUUCAUUUUAUUUUAUUUUUUUGAGAUUGGAUUUAAGCACUUUGAUCCUCCUGCCAUAGCCCCCCAAAAUAGUUGCAUGUCAAGUAGACGGGUAGGCAGACACCAUUGUGUCUUUCCCCAAAGUCCAAAGGCUUUCCCGUACAUCCCAUUGGCUAGAAUGACACGUCACGCCUAGCCCCCAGCCUGUCGGUGUGGAGGGAAGGGGUCACCAACAGUUGUGUGAAUAGUGUGAGCGCAGGUUCCCAGAAGACCAGGAGAGGUUGUCCCUAUCCGCUGGAGGUUCAGGUAUAGGUGGUUGUGACACCGACUGGCAUCAGAGCUGGGAACCGAACUUGGGUCCUCUAGAAGAACAGCAAAUGCUCCUAACCACUGGGUCCUCAAGGUUUUGCUUUUUAGGGUUUUUUUUG
rnacentral:lncRNA from 1 species